rnacentral:tRNA from 2 species
GCUCCCUUCGUUUAUGGGCUAGGAUAUCGCCCUUUCAAGGCGAGGAAACGGGUUCGAGUCCCGUAGGGAGCGCCA